UCUAAGCCCACGUAAUGUACUCCUUAGUGAGAAGAAGAAAGUUUAGAGGUUGUUUCUGGCAGUCUGCUACUGCUUAGAGCAAAAGGAAUGCUCUGGUGGAUGCCUGUGUCCCGGGAAGCCUCUGGCAGAUCCCAAGGGCCCCUGCUGCCCUGUCAGCCCCGGGGGCAGCUCUCUGUACACAGCACAUCGCUACCUGCAGCCCUGCCCCAGCUGUUCCCAUUCCUCAGGGGCACUUCUGAAGCUGCCUCUUGUUCAGGCAGAGAGAGCUUAACUGAUCUUGGCUAUUUAGGGGAGCUUCGUCUCCAGCUGAGCCUCUCAGUAACUCCUAGGGAAUGGUGGUGUCUCCUUACAGUUUUCCAGGAUGAAGAGGCCACCAGGAGCAGAGAGCUUGAGAUAGAAAUGAUAAGGCUGGGCACUCUGGAUCCCUGCUGGCUUGUGCUACUCCAUCAGCAGACUAGCAGAGAUUCAUUUGCACUUCCCCAAUGUCUCCUCAUCUUUCCUUCUAGCUGAGUGGUGUUCCCCAAAUGGUCUGUGGAUCUCUGUAGGAUGUGCUGCUUUUGUAAAUCUUUUAUAUGGUAAAAGUGCACUGAGAAACCAGACCUACUGUUUAAUGAGCCUAGAGAUAACGCCCCAGGUCUGCACAGAUAUUGGAAAGAUUUUAGGGGGCUGUAAAAUGUAAAAUUACCCAAUUCAGGGGUCUGAAAAUAAACCAGUAUCCUGCUUUCAAUAUAUAUAUAUAUAUAUCACUGCUGAAGCUGUCAUGGACCAAGGCUGAUGAUUUUGCUCUGUGGUGAUUGUGGAGUGAUUUCCUGGCUUUAGCAGAGAUACUUUUGUGAGGCGCUGCCUGGGCCUGAAGUCUGCUUUCUCCUGCAGCCACCAGCAAUGAAAUGGAGUCUGUCCAUGUGUGGGAUGGUAAAAUCUGCAGGGGAGUGUUAUGUUUUCCACAUUUUCAAAAGUACUUUCAACCCAUCCAAAGAGUUUACAGAAAUAACCUGCUGCAAAAUGUAAAAAAAGCAGCAAGCAUUUGUAUUGUGUGGAGAAAUUAAACUUACUGCAGGGCUAGACCAUAGAGUUCUUACUCUCCUGCUUGGGUAGUGACAUUUCUGAAGCACCAUGGGCCAGUAAGGGCUGAGGGCUGGGUGUGCUGUGGCCCUGCAUGGACAGCACAGUGCUGGGAGGUCUGGGCAGUGAGGAGCAGGGGAGCAGCAGAACUGAGCUCUUCCUGACUAACUGCAGAACCUCCAAGAAGUUCACACAAACAAUCAAGUGAGAGCCGAGGUUGCUUUAUGCUCAUGAAACAUUGCUUUGAUGGUUUCAGUUCUGUAGGCCUAUAUAUAAAACAAACACAAUGGGUAUCUAGCAGCUAAUUCUAGCCACAGAUAGAAAAAUUAGCACACCUCAAUUGUUAAUUGCUUGAAAGUAUGAGCUGCUUCUGAUGUAAAUAUGAGCAUGUGGCUUGCUCUGCAGAGACUAGCCACAAAAUCUUCAUUUUUAGUUACAUUUAGCUAAAGCAGACAAAAAUAAAAUCCGCAGAGGCAAAGAUGCAUCAGAAAUUCACUGGAACUACACUGAAGUUGUACCCUGCAUAAAUAGCCUCAGCAAACAGUAAUUAACACAGCCAGCAUGUUUCAUCGUAUUGUUAAAGGGAGUAGAAACAGAGAUAAUCCCUUCUGAAUUGUAAUGCAGUGCCAUACAUAAUGAUAAGGUUUUCUUUCUUUGGACAGCUAGUUUUGUUUUCCAUGAUGGAAUGUCUUCAGAGAGUUUAAAUGAACUGUUUGCAAUGAAACUGGAUGUUUCCUGCAGCAUGUGAUAAUCAUUACCAAAUGAGAUUUUAAUUAAUAAUUGAAUAAAUCCUUAGUGAGAUUCUGAAAUAGGAGGCAUGCUCUACAUCUGCAGGAUGCCAGGAGAUCUGUGAAAAUACUGAGCUGUUUCUGUUUAGGAAGCUGAGAAGUCGCCCUUGAAUCCAGACCAGUGAUGGUGGACUGAGUUCUCUUAAGCCUACCCUUAGUGCACAGGUCUGGAAUUUCUCAGCUAUCCUAAAGCAGAAAUGUAAAUUCAGUGCAGCUUUGGUAAGCAGAACACUAUUCUCUAUCAGCAGCUGAUUUCUGUUCCAUCCUUGAUAAGAUUAAAUAUAAAGCAGGAAAAAACCAAACCCAAACCUAUCAGAGGCUUUAUCCUGUCUCCUCCCACUCACCUUGGAGGAGCUUAUCUAGUGUUUUACUAUGCUGGAGAUUUCCUCAGCAAUCAGAAUCAGACCCCUGACUUUCAACAAGUUGUCUUGAAGCUGCUGUACACUACAACACUGUCCAAACCACCUACCAGAGGACCCCAGGUGUCAAGAAUAAAGGCCCAAGAGAAACUCUGUAUGAAAAGAAAUGUGCUGCAAUGAAGCAAACCCAAAAUCUAAAUCUUUGUACUUCAUUUUUCUUCAAUAUAGAAAAAAAAUCAAUUUAUGCAGCCCAAAUCUGGGUGUGAAAUCAACUUUUCUAUUAAAAUACAUGGUUCAGUCUGUGAGUACCUGAGGUAAAAGGCACCAGGCCUCCAGGAGAUGGAAAUGAAAGGACAUCAUAUGUUUAGAGAGGAACAUUUUACUGUGUUCAGUCUAUAAUGUUGUGUGACUGCAUCAAGUCUCAUCUUGAAAUCAGCUCAGUGACUUGUCUUCACUUUUCUAGUUGGAAGCAGCUCCAAACCUCCCUGCUCUUGUACCAGGAAGCUUUCUGGGGGACCUCUGCUCUUUUUUUGCUCAAUAGCCUUACUGACCUGAGGGUACCCUGUGAGUUCAUUCACUCUGGAAAUCCCAGAUUUCCUGCUCUGCCACCUUCUUCUGCAAAUUCACCUUAGGUGAGCACAGAUGGCCGUGGUUAUGUAAAACUCUAGGUGAGGUCUCACUAGUGUUUUGUGCAGGACCACUCGUAUAACCCUACCUGCUGUAAAUCUUGCUCCUGAGGCCCCUGUCAAUUAUCUUCCCCUUUCAAGGCCUUAGAAGGGCUCACAGUCACCCUUUGUUGACUGUUUUUGUUUCUUGCCUCUCUCUCCUGCCUGGUAUGACUUUGAUCUCUACAUUAUUCCAACUUCACAGCAUUUCUUUUUGUUGUAGCUUUUCAUGUCACCCCAUGCUUCCUCUAUAAGCUUGUCUCUGUGAAGUAUAAAAUAUUUACUGAUGGAAAAAAAAAAAAGGAAAAUAUUUUACCUUAGUCUACAUAGUCUCUGCAUCCAUUUAAAGAAUUUAGCUUUGCCGAUUUCAGCAUUAAGCAAAUACAGAAAUGCAAACCAUUCCAGGACAGAGGCCUGCACACCACCAAGUUAAUGUUUUAUUUGGCCACAUUUCCAAAUUACCAGGAAAAUGGGACAAGAAUUGCAAGCAUACACCUGUCUUCCAACUUUUCUUGUCCUUAUGAGUCAGUCUUGGUAUCGGACAAACUCGUUACUCAACGCUCUCUUCUGUUGCAGUAGCACAGUUCUGAGAAGGAAUGUGGCACAGCCUCUAGUGAUAUCACUUUUUACCUUGCAAAAAUCACAGUUGUGGUAAGUGGAAGAUUUUUUUCCCACAGUAAUGAGAAUCCAGAAAUAAGGAAGGUUGAUGGUUUACUUCCAGAAAUGCUGUAUUUUGAGGACCAAAAGCAAAUGAAAGGAAUAGAAGCACUGGAAUAUCAAUACCUUCCAGAAGAUGUUGGAGCAUCAGCACUGAAUUUUAAUUUUUUAUAAAAAUUGUAAUUGCACUCUUCUAUACAUUGGGUACAUAUAUUUAAAUAAAACAUUCUAAAUAAGGCA